rnacentral:rRNA from 1 species
CCCCUAGACGUUCUGGGCUGCACGCGCGCUACAAUAAUACGCACAGCGAGUAUCACCGAGCUCGAAAGGGCAAGGUAAACAAUAGAAAAGGUACUGUAAUGGUUAUAGAUCCUUGUAAUUAUUGAUCUUCAACGAGGAAUUCCUAGUAAGUAUGUGUCAUCAUCACGCACUGAUUACGUCCCUGCCCUUUGUACACACCGCCCGUCGCUCCUACCGAUUGGGUGAGCCGAUGAAACUCUCGGAUGUAGGCUAUUCAUAGCCCGCAGGAGAGAUUUGAAUCGUAGCGCUUAGAGGAAGGAGAAGUCGUAACA